AUUGAACGCUGGCGGCAGGCCCAACACAUGCGAGUCGAACGGUAACAGGAAGCAGCUUGCUGCUUUGCUGACGAGUGGCGGACGGGUGAGUAAUGUCUGGGAAACUGCCUGAUGGAGGGGGAUAACUACUGGAAACGGUAGCUAAUACCGCAUAACGUCGCAAGACCAAAGAGGGGGACCUUCGGGCCUCUUGCCAUCGGAUGUGCCCAGAUGGGAUUAGCUAGUAGGUGGGGUAACGGCUCACCUAGGCGACGAUCCCUAGCUGGUCUGAGAGGAUGACCAGCCACACUGGAACUGAGACACGGUCCAGACUCCUACGGGAGGCAGCAGUGGUGAAUAUUGCACAAUGGGCGCAAGCCUGAUGCAGCCAUGCCGCGUGUAUGAAGAAGGCCUUCGGGUUGUAAAGUACUUUCAGCGGGGAGGAAGGGAGUAAAGUUAAUACCUUUGCUCAUUGACGUUACCCGCAGAAGAAGCACCGGCUAACUCCGUG
rnacentral:rRNA from 1 species